AUUGAACGCUGGCGGCAUGCUUUACACAUGCAAGUCGAACGGUAACAGGCCGCCAGGUGCUGACGAGUGGCGCACGGGUGCGUAAUGCAUCGGAACGUGCCCAGUCGUGGGGGAUAACUACUCGAAAGAGUAGCUAAUACCGCAUACGAUCUAUGGAUGAAAGCGGGGGACCGUAAGGCCUCGCGCGAUUGGAGCGGCCGAUGUCAGAUUAGGUAGUUGGUGGGGUAAAGGCUCACCAAGCCAACGAUCUGUAGCUGGUCUGAGAGGACGACCAGCCACACUGGGACUGAGACACGGCCCAGACUCCUACGGGAGGCAGCAGUGGGGAAUUUUGGACAAAGGGCGCAAGCCUGAUCCAGCAAUGCCGCGUGCAGGAAGAAGGCCUUCGGGUUGUAAACUGCUUUUGUACGGAACGAAACGGCUCUGGUUAAUACCCGGGGCUAAUGACGGUACCGUAAGAAUAAGCACCGGCUAACUACGUG
rnacentral:rRNA from 1 species